GUCUCCUUCCUUGGCCAGCUUGGGCCUACUGUAGAAGAAAUGGGCCAGCAUCAUACCGUGAGGGCCGAUGGCACCUGAUUUACCCUCCAGGAGGAUGCUUGUUGCUGGUGACCUAGCUGCCUGCAUCGGAGGACAAAGGCUGGAGUUGGAGCAUGCUGUGUGUUGGAGAGGGUGAGAUUAGGUGUUUGAAGGCUCAGUGUCUCAGAAACCUUUGUGAAGCCCUGGAGGAGCCAUAUGUUAGUCAGUGUCUACCUCCUUGGACAGCUUGGGCCUACCGCAGAAGAAAUGGGCCAGCAUCAUUCCUUGAGGGCUGAUGGCACCUGAUUUAGCCUCCAGGGAGGAUGCUUGGUGCUGUUGACCUAGCUGCCUGCACCUGAGGACAAAGUGUCUCCAUCCUUGGUCAGCUUGGGCCUACUGAAGAAGAAAUGGGCCACCAUCAUUGCAUGAUGGAUGAUGGCAUCAAAUGUAGCCUCCAGAGAAGAAUCUUGGUGCUGGUGACCUUGAUGACUGAAUCUGAGGACAAAGUGUCUCCUUCCUUGGCCAGCUUGGGCCUACUUCAGAUGAAAUGGGCCAGCAUCAUUCCUUGAAGGCUGAUGGCACCUGAUGUUGCCUCCAAAGAGGAUGCUUGGUGCUGGUGACCUAGCUGCCUGCAUCGGAGGACAAAGAAAAUGAACUGCUACGGGAAACUCUUCAGAUAAUGUCUAAAAGCAGAAAAUACAUGAAAGAAGACUUUCUAGAUCAAGAUCUCUUCAGCACGUAUUGUCUCAGAGCUGUACUUCGAAGAUGAUACCUACAAUGAUGAUUUGGAGUCACUAUAGAUGGUGCCAUCUCUUCUACCAGAAGCUUCAUGAAAAUAGUCUUCAUUAGGCAUGCUGAUGCCUCUCUCCUGUAUGCAGAAUACACUACCUGCAGAUAAGAAAUUCUUAACUGAGAAAUGCUCAUGUUGGGAUAUCAUCAAUGAGACUUUAAUUUGGGCAUGGUGACUGUUUCCCUUGCUGCCACUUGACUCAAUCCCAGGAGCCUCAGUAGAGGAAAUAAUAUUGUACAAGAAGCUCAAAAUGGUGGAAGUAUUUAGUGCUCCUAUAACUAUAAAUUGAUGAUUUUUAAAUAUGGCAUCUUAAAAAGAAAAUGCAUGAUUAAAAACUCAAUGCAUACCCAUAUGAUUAAUCCAUAAAUUAUGUACCUCCCCUAUUUCAAGAUAAUCCUCAUAUUUUCCCUCUGUUAAGGGAGGGAAAAUACUUUUAAGCAGAUAAAUAGACUUUUUUUGGGAGGACUUCAGUAGUGGAGCCAUAUUCCUCUGCAAAUUGCUGCUUUUGUUUAAGAGUCAUUUUGAUGUGCUUUUGCUACUUCAGUACCACAUUCAUAUCUAUGUCAUUUGUUGAAUGACUGCAUGCCUGAUUUGUGGAUGAAAUUAAAUUAAAUGUCUUAAGCAUUGCUCAUUCAUUGGCAUUUAUGUAAGUGCCAAUUUUCUGUGCAAUGAACUUUCGUAUAUAUUAAAAAUUCUGUAUUUGUCUCCUCUAUCAUAGUAAAAUUACCUACAACUUAAAUUAUUGAAGUUAAGCAUAUUAUCAUUUCAGGUUUUUAAAAUUAUUAUAAUUCUUUUAAAAAUGUGCUUUAACAGCUUUCUUCACAGUAGCAAUAACUUAGACUGCCAAAUUCUUCACAAUCCCCAUAUGUCAUCAUUUUAGAAACGUUUGGGAUUUUCCAGUGUGUUAGUCUAAACAAUUGUUUUAAAUUUUACUUUUUUUAACUUUUAGUUUGAUCAUUUUCAUGUUUAUUGGCCAUCUGUAUUUUUAAGUUUUUCUUUAUGUCAAAGUUUGGGAGUAUGUGGAAGGUUUAGUCUCUUUUAAAGAUCACAUUUACAGUUGGGGAAAGAUAAGAUUUUGGAUUGUUAAACAUUACAUGUUUUUCAUGCUUUUGAACUUUGUUUUGUUAUAAGAAUGUAUUAUUGUUACGUGUUCAAGUAUAACCAUGUUUGCUUUUAUGGCUUCUGAGUUUCAUGUCAUUUUUUGGAAAAAAAGUCCUGAUCUCAUAAAGCCUGUGUUAAUCCUAAUUCUUUUGUGUUGUUUUUUUUUUAAAUUCAGAUUCUUAUGUCAUAAAAAGAAUUUUAUUUUGAAAUUUUAAAGUUGCCAAGUUAUUUGCCAUUACUUAUAAUUAUUUGCCAAUAAUUGUCCAUUUCUCUGUAAUGCCAUUUUGCACAUGUGCUGUAUUCUCAUCCAUGAAUGGCUUCAUUUUUGUUCUGUGGAUAUGUGUGUCUCUUCUUGUGCCGCCUGUCUCAUGUGUCUUCUUGUUGGAAGAAAUUACAGUUUAGACUGCAAUUUCAUCAACAUUAAUAAAUUAAUUUCAGAAAAACUGGUUUUAAAUAAUAUUGUCUUCUUAAUUUAGGACAAGGUCUAUUUCUUUUUUUAAACAUUUAAUUAUUGUUGAUAUUUUUACCAUGUUUGGUUUUACUUUUCUUUAAUUCUUAUAUUUUUUUUGUAUCUGAAAGUCUUUUUAUACUUUUUUGGGAGGGGAUUAAGUGGUCACAUUACUCCUCCUUUUUGUUUUUAGAAUGUACCCAAAAUUUGUUGCAAAUAUUGAUUUCUCCCACACCCCACCCAGUUGAUACUGAUUUUGGUUAUGUUGAUAAAAGCCCACAGACUGGUACUUUCAGAGCACUUAAAUAAUUGUGGAAACAUUAUCCACCCUUGAUUUAAAUGGGAUUUAACAGAAUGCUUCUUGGGUUUGAAUAGCACACUGCCAGUUGUCUAUUCUUCCAAAAAGACCACCUAAAAGAGCUAUGAUCAUACAAAGUUGAGUUUAUUAAACUUACUGCAGCAAGGGAAAACACCACCUUAACAGGGUUUAGUAGUGAUUGAAAAGAUAAAUAAGAGUCUUUAGAUCUGGGCUACUGUGGUUUUAGGCAGAGACAUGAUUAUGAAUGUGCACAGUUCAGCAUGCAAUACUUUCAGGUGGAUGGGGGUGUGAUGAAAUUCCUAAUGUGCUUCUUGAUAAUCAAUCUGGUAUAUGAAUUGUGUCCCUUAAUAAGAAAGUAAUGACAUAAGAGGUAUUUACCUCUAUGAGCAAAUAGAAUUUAUCAGUUUAUAGUUUUGUCUUGCUAGGCAGGACUCUACUAGGGAUGAUACCAGGUCUUUUUCCCAAAAGGUAAAUUAUUUCUCAUUUGACUAGUUUAAAAUAUCAAUGUAAGUUUAUAACUUUAAUUUUGAGAUACUUGGUUUGUUGUGUUAGAAAACUCUUCCACUUUUUAUAUUUUUCUAAAGAAUCUGGAUCAAAGCCAUGUGGAAGAUGUAACUUUUUUUCACAAAUACUUGUAUUGUUCUUUUUAGAACUUCUGUAAUAUAUUUCAUUUUCAAUAAUUAGAAAUUCUUUUCUUCCAUGAUUGAACUUACCUUAAUUCUGUUUAAUUAUUUUUAUUUACUGCUAAUCUAUGGACAUUUAAAUUUAAUUUGGAAUUUUUUGGAGUCUGUGAUUAUAUGAAAUCACUUUUCCAUUGACUUUCCUUUCUUCUUCUCUCAUGCUUUGGUAUUAGAAGUUCUGAUUAUGUUUAAAAAACGUAGAGAAUUUUCAUAUGGUGCAAUGAUCAGUGGGUUGUUACCAGUGUUAAUUGAGCAAAUCAGUGAAAUCUACCGCUGGGAUUUGGUUAUUGAUGGAAAUAAGACUUUAGUUUUAUUCACAUCUUACCAGUUAUGUUUUCAAAUCUUAAGUUUAACAUUUUUUUUUUCUCACAGAGGAUCACAAUGGACACAGAUUUUCUAUCACUCUAAAUUUUGCCUUUUCAAAUGAGUACAUUUCAAAAGUGGCAUUUAAAAAGGAUCCAUUUUCUCCUCUCUUUCACAAUCAAGAUUUUAUGGCUUUUUUUCCAGUUUUUAAAAAUAUCGCAAUAUAUAUUUAUAUAUUUUUCUAUGUCUUUUGCCUCUUUUCUUCCCAAAUCCUUUCUACCUACCCAAAUCAUUUCUUAUUCUUCUCUCUCAUUAGAAAACCAACAGGCAUCCAAAAAACAGAUGAAAUGAGGAUUUAUAAUGUAAAAUAAUAACCAACAAAUCUGAAUAGGUCAAAACAAACAAAUGAACAGAAAACAAAAAGCCAAAUGAAAAAAAAAAAAAAACCAAGAAACAU